UUUUUUUUUUUUUUUUUUUGUUCUUGCAAAGGAUGCCGAGGAGAGCAAUUGUUCUAUCAUCCAAUUGCAUUCUUGGAUGGUGAGAGUUAGUGGACUUAGAUUAAUGAUGUUUUAAGACAUGGCCUUGAAAUUAUACAAGACAAUUGAACAAUGGGUUAUAAAGUAACACUGUCGGGUAAUAAAGUGAUUCCAUGUUUUUUUGACAUCGACCAAUUAAUUAGUUCUUGUGAACUUUAUGUUUUUUCUCUUCUUUAAAUUAAUCUCUCUUUGUCACGGCUACCUAGCCUCUGGGUUCGCUAUACUUUGGGCUAAAUUUGCAUUUCAAAAUCUUGACGACGAGCUUGAUAUGUUUUGCUCUAAGAUAAAAGGAAUGGUGGUUAUAAAUAUGGGGCUUUUAAAUUAUAAAAUUUUAAAUUAAAAAGCUAAACUUCAUAUAUUAUAAAUAAUUAUAUAAAUUAUAUAAAUAAUUACAUAAAUUAUAUUUUAAAGUUUUACCUAACAAUUUAACCUUUUGAGUUGAGAUGGAUUUUUAAUAUUAUAUUAAAACCGUGUUGACCAAACGGUAAUGAAUUUAAAUUUUAUUAUUUUUAUUUUAUUUGAUAAAAAUAAGUAUUAGGUAAUGUAGAUAUAUUUAAAUUUUAAGUUUUUGAGUUGAGAUAAUUUUUUAAUAUUUAUUAUUAUUAUUAUUAUUAUUGAUCGGUGAUGUAUCCCGAAAAGAAAAGGAGCUUAUUCCAGACAAAGCAAACCCUGCCAUAUUAGCUAGCAGUAAAGAGGUGGACUGUUGGAAGAACGAAUUCCAAUGCUCUAGCCAUGAUCAUUAAUUAGCAAGCUAAUCCAUACAUCUAUUAUCUUUAUGAUCGAGUGAGAAGCUAUCUAAUUUUUCUGUAUGAUGCGCUUCCUCGUUAAUAAUUAGAAUUUAAAUCUUAGGUAAGAGUAUAAUAAGUAAUGCUUUUACGAAUUUUUUAAUUCGGACACAAAUAUUCUAGGGAUCGCAAUAAUUAAGCCGUUGCGUUUUUGGUUUAAAGUAAAGGAUGUAGUAAUUUGUUUUAAAAGUAAAAUAAUUUCUUUCAAGAAAGAUAUACGUUUCAGUUUCAAAACAAAGCAAUUAUCAAUUAAACACAAUCUUUAGACCAAAACAACUAAAAUCAAUGCACUUUAAAAACAGAAUGAUAUCAAAAAGGCAUAAAAUUCAUUAUAUUACUAUAAAAAUAAUAUAAAUUAUAUUUUAAAACUUUAUUUAAAGUUUAAAUUUUAAAGUUUUAACAUGGUAUCAGAACCUUAAUUAUUAAGCAAUUAUAAGUUUAAAUUUCAUUAUUUUUAUUUAUUUUAUAAAAGAUAAGCACAAUAUAAUAUGUAUUUAUACAAGUUUCAAGUUUAAAUAAUUUUAAUUUAUAAAAUAUAUUAAAAAAUAAUAUAAAUUAUAUCUUAUAAUUUUAUCUAAAAAUUUAAAUUUUUAACUUGAAACGGUAAAAUUAGCUAGUGCGCGUGAGUAAAUUAUAUAUAAAAAUCCAAAUAAGGCAGUAGAGUUUAUACAAUUUCAGCAGGGAGAAAGGUAAAAUUCAUUAAAUUUCUUCACAUAGGUAACCUCGAUUGACUUUAGCAGCCAGCCGUCACCUGUAGAUUGGUUUACUGAUCUUGGUUGUGUGAAAACAAUCAUAUCAAAUCCUAAUGAUCACGUCCAUUGAGAUCAUAAUAUUGGAGACAACAUGAGUUAGUUAGGAAAUUAUGAAAAUCCUGUCAAGAAACAAGCAACCAUCUACAUUUGGAAAUGCAAGACCGUUUACUGCUUUCCAGCACUUCAUUAAAAAAAGAACCACCUUGGAUUAAUCAAAUUCAUUAAUCCUCUGGUAGCCAGAGCUGGACCCAUGAAUCUAAUGAACACAGAUCCCUCCCAUGGCGGGGAGCUUGAAAAUAUAUACAUCCAAUUAAGAUCUUUCAUCACCUCUUCAAAAAUAUAUCGAUGAAAUUGGGUGUUUUUCAAAGAUUAUUUCAUGGCUGAAUAAUGGAUAAAUAAGCAAGUAAAUGGAGGAGGGAAUAAUGCUUGGAAAGGCUAAUUAAGCAAUACAAGUAGUAGAAAAUAUGUAGUAUACAGCGUGUAAGAAAGUCGUACCCCAUCUCACAGACCUUAAAUCCCAAACUUGUUUGUAUAAUUGCAUGUAUGUUCUGUCUUGAUGUGGAUAGGAUAUCGUUGUGUCAACAUUUUAGCACCAUGCUCAUGUUCUUUUAGGUAAAAAUAACUUUUAGAUUUAAAAUAAACGCAUUAUUCGUAUCUGUGAUUGGUGAAGAUUAGGUUGGGCUCUUCGAGUUUUGAUUGGACACGUCUAUCUAUGCAUACACUUGGAUGCUUUCUUGGCUCUGUCUUCAAAUAAGACAUAAUCGUCCAAGCUUAUCUUGAGCAUGUUAUUUGUGUAUAUAUAUAUAUAUAUAUAUAUAUAUAUAUAUAUAUAUGAAGACCGAUUCCAUGUAGAGGAGCCUUGGUGGGAGCUGAUAGGCGCACAAUAAUACACAUGUAACCCGAGUAACUCACGUAUCUACCAGUCGGUUUUUGUCUCCUGAAUUGAUUUCAGUAACAAUCAAUAUUAUUUUUUAAUAUUAGUUUAUUUGGAAGUGUUUUCAUGGUUGUUUUUAAAAUAUUUUUUAUUUAAAAAUAUAUUAAAAUAAUAUUUUUACAUUGGAUUUUUUUUUUCAUUCAAUAUAAUGGAAGAUUUUAAAAAAGAAAUGUCUCGUGUGUGCAGUGUGUCAGUUAUUUUUUCCAAUAAGAUUAUCUAAUAAUGUUCAGUUUCUUCUUGUGUAAUUAUCCAACCGUCAGCUUUUAAGAAAGAAAAAUCUAAUUGAAGAGACCUCUAUGUUUGAGAAAAAAAAUUACAGCCAUUGAAGAGCUGUCGCAAAUCUGCAUAUUAAUUUCAUAUGAAUUCAUGGAAUAACUAGUAACAUUGUAUUAGUUAUUUCUUGAACUUACAUUAAAAAAAAAUUACAAAGAGGAAAAAAAAAAAAAGAAACUCAUGACCCACCAAGAAUAACAAGAAUAUCUCCAUUUAAAAUAUUUUUUUAAUUGAAUCUAUUUUUAAAAAAAUUAAAAUUUUAAAAAGUAAAUAAUAAAAUGCUAUUAAUAAUACUAUCAUUUACUUUCUAAACACUGUAAAAUUACUUGUUUUCGUCAAAAUAACAGAGCAACAAACGUAGGAGUGCCUGGUGAUCUUUAUGUAAAGCAAUAAAAGUAAACACGGUUUUUGUAUUCCGAAGACGUUUUGCAAAAUUAUCAACUAUGUUUUUAGGGUUAGUGGGAGAUGUAAUUAGUGUGUUCUUGAAGCAUAUUCAUUGACCAAAUGCUAGGAAACCCCACAGUUGACUAAUAUACAAUUAUUGUAUCCAUUAACUUAAAAGAUUUUGCCAUUGAGAGCUUCAUUAUGAGUUAGUUUAACGGGGGCCACCUAAGAUUGAUUUACCCACCAUAUAUGGUUAUUUUUAUAAAAAAAUGGAUUUAAUUGGACCAUUUUGAUGUUUUUAAUCUCUUUCUUGUCAUUGUAAAAGGACAUGAAAUUUGCAUGCGCUCGCUAAAGCUAAAGUAAGUUCUUCAUUUAAUUAAUCAUAUAUUGAUCUGCAAGAGUUUAGUAAUCAUUGCUUUAAAUUCUCAAUUUACUUAAUAGACAACAGUUUUCUCUUUAAUGAUAUCGCUGCAUUUUGGGCUACACUUACUAAUAUUCAUUUUUGGUUAACAAUAUAAUGCAUCGAAUUAUAUAUCGUCCUAAGCUAAAUUAAUCUAGUUGUCAAAUCAACCUGAGAAGCGACCCUUUUCUCCCUUUUUUUAUCUUCAUUUUUCUCUUCAUCAAACAACACAACCCCUCUUCUUUUAUCACAAAUCAACCUCUCACUAUAAAUUUUGUUGUCCCAACACUCAAUUUGUAGCAUCCAUGUUCUAAUUCAAAUUUUAUUAAGGAUUCUCCACUUCAAGUAAGCAAAACUAUCAAAAUUGUUUACUUGAACUCAAUUUUAAAAUAUUAAUUUUUAUUACAUAUUUUUGUAGUAUAUACAUUUUAUUAGGGUGUUUACUUAUUUUAUAGGUUUUCUCCAUAAAAAUUUAUUGUAUGAAUGUAUGAUUUUCUGAUUUUUUUUUCCAAGAUACAUAUAACACUCGGUUGAAGAAGAGAUACGGUGACGAUCCUUCGAUCCAUCCAAAUCUUGAUUCAAAUUUGUGGUUAGGGGCUAUCAUCCGGUAAACUCGAUAGAAAUUAUAUGUAUGGUCUCUCUAACACUAUGACCGAAGACUUGCGAAUGACCAUAAUAUUUCAACCAUUGGAUGCUCACAAUUGGUUUCGAGCACUCAAGCUUUAAAGUUCAAGGCGAUUUUACACUAAUAAAUUCAAGCUCGGACGACCCAUUUUGCUGCUGAUUAUGAACAACUCAAUGCUGAGAUGGUUGAACUCCACCAAUUAGUAAUAAAAAUGAAUCAUAUAUGGGUGGUACAUAUAAUCCCUCUUAUUCGUCCUACGGUCCUAGCAAAGACUUGUCUCCUCCUCCUCCUCCUCCUUCAGCACCUUUAUUUUAGAUUAAUUAUAUUGAAUAGAUAAAUAUUUAAAUUUGUAAUAAAUAUUUGAUGUUUAUAUUAAUUUAGUUUAUUUUUAUUUUUGUUAAUAUAUUUUUUUGAAAAAAAAUAUUUUUAAAUUAUUACUGACGGGGUUACCGAUAGACUUUGUCCAUUGAUAUAUUCUAUAUAGUUGGAAACAAAUUAAUGCAAAUAUCAUUACCACUAUCUACUCACCGACUGAAAUAGACAAUUUAUUUGACGAUUAUAUGUCAAAUUCAUCAAAAGAAAUACUGAUGGGAAAAAAAUUUCACCCGAUGGAAUGACAUAUAGUUUUUCUGUUGGUGAUAUAUUAUAUUCAUUAAUGAAAAUAUUGAUGAAAUGAACCAGGUAAAAAAAAAAUUAGAGCGCUUUAGCCAUUAGUAAAUCCAUCUGUAAAAUUAUCAUUGACAGACCACAAAUUACCAAUAAGAGUUUUUCCAAUGGAUUAUUUUUAUCUGUAAGCCCAUCGAUAAAUUUUAUACUGACAAAUUAUGAAUAUAGAUACUGACAAAAAAUUCCAUUGAUAAAUCUUAAAAUUCUGGUAAUGGUUGUAUUGAUCAAAUUGACACGUCUACUUUCUAAAUAUGCUACUAACUUAAUGCAUGUUUGGGAGUGUGAUUACGGUUGUUUUUCAAAGUGUUUUUAUGCCUAAAUACAUUAAAAUUAUGUUUUUUAUUCUUUUUAAAAUAACUUUUUAGAUCAGCACAUCAAAACGAUUCAAAACAUAUAAAAAAAUUACUUUUCUAAACACUGAGUUGUUAAAUUUGAUUCAUGCAAUGUCAUUACUUGGAUAAAGAGAGACAAUAAAAUAUGGUUAUGACACUUACAAGGUGAAUCCAACGCAUGCAAUAUUCUUUCUUUUAUGAUUUUUGAAAAUAAUAAUAAUUAGUUUUAUCUUGUGAUAUGACGGUAUAAUUUAACUUUUUGAAUUCUAUUAUAAUAUUAUUUUUCAUUCCCUCCAUAUAUACAUACUAAAUGUUUUUUGUUGGUUUUAGUAAUGAAUAUAUGGAUGGAAAAUUAUGUUGGUAAAGGUUAUUACAAUAUAUUGACAGAACUUUUUCAUCAAUAUUUUUUCAUAUAUAUUUAUCAAUUUUAUGAUAAUAGAUGAAAGUGGAAGUUUGAUUUUGUGGGUUUUUUAAGAUCACUGUCAAAUGAUUUUAUGGACUAUUUGAUAAUUGGCACCGACAAGUAAAGUGAACGCUAACUUUAACUGGGAUAUAUAUCCAAGGGUCAUUAAAACCUCUUAGGAUCGAGCAGCUUAGUGUUAGGUGCUAGAACUUGUGAUGAGACUUUGAGGUUUAUUGGGACCAAAAUGGUCUUCAUCAUGCAAAAAGAAAUUAAAAAAUAAAAUGGAGAAUAUGCUCAUACGAUGCUGUCAACCGAAAUCGUUCUUUAGUCAGUAUUUUUUUUUUUUUAGUCAGUAUUUUAGAGCUUGAAUUAAUGGUCCCUACGUACUGUAAAAUGACGCAUGAUGAGGAAAUUUCAUUUCUUUUGUUUUCUUCAACGAGCCUGGAGCAAAAAUGGGGUCAACUUCAGGAUCUAAUCUUGCCCUAACGUGCAAUGGUAUUUUGGUUGGCAAACCACGUGUAAUGGCUAGAGUGAAAGCAACGUUCUAACCAGUAGUCUCAUGCAAAGUGUCAAGAAGACAUCAAGACAAUCUCUCCAGCACAUGUCGGAAGAUUCAUUAUUUGAACAAGACUGGAAGGUUUAACCAGGAGAUAGAUGGAUCAACUUUGUUACAAUCUGCCGACUGUUUGAACGCAUGUGGGCAGUGGAAAAACACAUAGGGAUCACUCAAAUUUGACGAUAGUAACAUGAUUCUGGUUUGAUUUGGUUACAUAAAUUUGGAAACAUUUUUCUCUCGUAUCUAUUAUGGUUGCUUGUUAGUUUAUGUUAUAAAUCAUUAUACGCAAGAACCCAUGUUCUGAGACCAAUGGAAAGUUAGAACAGUUUUCAUUAAAAAAAAAAAAAAAAAAUUAGGACAGAGAUAUUAAUGUGAUUUCAUUGUGAACGAUACUGCUGGUUGACAAGAACAUCCUGGUAACGUCUAUAACUUUUCUUUUGUGAAUAUAAUGGGCAUUUGUUUUUUGGCCGUAUAUACUUUUCUCCUAAAAGAAGAAGAUGAAGGAAUAACAUAAAUAAGAAAUGACAAAUCCUUAAAGAUUUAGAGCGUGUUUGGCAGUGUGGUAGCGGUUGCUUUUCAAAUAGCUUUUCGUGCCGAAAUACAUGCAAAUGAUGUUUUUUCAUUUUUUAAAAAUCAUUUUUGAUAUCAGCACAUCAAAACGAUUCAAAAAGUACAACCGUAACUCAAUUUUAGCAAAAAAAAAAAAAAAAAAAUUUUGAAUUUUGUCAAAACGCCGGUUUGGCAGCAAUGCCAAACAGGCUCUUAAUCUCGUUAAUAAGUGGAUUUACUUUUUCAUUAUUAUUAUCAUGUAGGUUUCAUAUUCUAAAAAUGAUUGUAAAUUUUGAAACUGCCCUAACUUAUAUAAGAUCGAUUUGCCUACUUAAAAUAUAUGUUGAUUUUAUAUUAAAAGAAACUAAUUGUACUUGUAAAAAUAUUGUAGCUCCAUACUUAUGAAUACUAUAUAUUUACUAGCACAAUAUGAUGAUAUUUUUGUCUCUCCAUCCAAAAAAUCUAACACUUUUUAAAAAUUAAAAUUAGUGUCAUGAGAAAUUUUUAUAUUUUCACAAUAGUUUUUUCAUUAUUAAAAUAUUAGCUAAGGGGCAAUUUAGUAUUUGAUAAAAUAUAAAAAAAUAAUAAACAAUUAAAAAGCACUUUUAAACGACUGAAAUAUUCUUAAAAACAAAAAACCUAAACUUAGAGUUAAAGGGUUUUUCAUCUUUUCAGAAUGAUUUUUUGGAUAUUAUUAAGUCAACUUAAGGUAAUUUAGUAUUUGAAUAAAUAUAAGUAAAAAGCAAAAACAAAAAGGUAGGGCUUGUGAAUGUACUCCCCGGCACAUACGAUGCCUUCCCGCGGCAUCCAAAAAUGAUCUUUCAUAAUGUUAUUGAAAGCAUCAUCACGUCAUCUUCCUAUUGGAAUGACGCGUGUAUGCAGUGGUGAUCCAAUUUAUCACCUAUUAAUCUUUUUUUCCUUCUUUUUUCUCUCUCCUUCAUAAAUUAUAAUCUAGAAUUAUUAUAUAGUUGAAGAGAUUAAAUAAAAGAGGUUGAAAAGUCUUGAUUGGACAUCCAUAUGAGAUUGAAAAAGGAGCAAUUUUAAAUUAAGGACAAGUUCUUAUGGUGAAAUUGAUGCGUGAGAUUUUUUUCUAAUAUGCAGUUUUAUGUUAUUGUGUAUAACUCUUAAUCUAGUCAUUGGAUUGGACUAAGAUUUUGUUCAAAGAUUUUAAAGGUCCUAUUUCCUAUAAAUUUAAUUCUUCAUAACAAUCAAAUAUUAGAAAGGUCUCCUAAUAAGCAGUAGAAGUUAUUGUUUAGGAUUUGUAAUAUUUUUCCUAGUUUGUUUAGGAUUUUUUUUAUAUUUGGUUUGUUAUUUUAGAUUUGUUUAUGAAGUUUUUAUUGGUAUAGAUAUGGUUGUUUAGCUUGUAUUUUAAAUGAUUAAUUAAAUAAAAAAUAUUUAAUAAUAAAAUUUUAAAUUAGAGUUUUGUAUUAUUUCUUUUCUUUUCUUUGUGUUGCUUCGAUCUACGUCAUUUAUCCAUGUUACUUUUUGCUCUAUGUUUUUUUAUUAUCCUUUUUAUCCUAUCCUGACUCAAACUCAAAUUGUAUGCCAUUGCACGAUUUAUUUAUUUUUAAAAAACAAUAUAUAUUUGGAAUGUAAUCAGUAUAAUGUCCUAAAAAAUUGUUCACGUUAAAUAUUUCCUAGCUUGGAAAAAACCACCCCAUUUGAUCAACUUUUCUAACAAAAGUGCUUUCAAUCACUUUCUUCUUUUCUAUAUUUUGAUUUUUCAUUACAUUAUAAACUUUAUAAGAACAAUCAAGGUUUUUUCUUUUUAAUUAAUGCAAGACCAAUGAACAAGAUGCUUUUUAUUUUCCAAGUAAGUUCCUGUUUGGCACAAUAGUUGCUCCAUCAUUUCGUUUCAAAUUAAUUAAUCCAUUAAAAUAUAUUUUAAUAUAUUUCUAAAAAUAAAAUAAAAAACACUUUAAAAAUUAACUUUUAUCAUUCCUCCACUCCAUAAAUCAAUUCCAUCUCCCUUUUGUAUAAAUCCUAUAUGUUGACCAUAUCAAGUCAUCACAAUAGGCAGUGCACCUAGUCCAUUUUAAAUCAAGUUCUUUCUUUUAAUUAUUCCAUAAGUUCACACUAUUUUAUACUUCAUCCAAUGCUGCAUCACCCAAAUAUCAAAAAUAAAGGCGUGGAAUUUAAGAGCUAGAAUUCCAACACAUGCAUCGGAUCACCCACCAACUGGAAAAAAGAAAAAAAAAACAACAACCGGUAACCUACGCCACCAUUGUAUUACUUUAUUACACAGCUCGUGCUAGAACAAGGAUGGUAUUCCGACUUAUUUUUUUAGCAUGCCGAACUCUUGCAUGACUGAUACUAGUUUUUAGCCAAUAUAGCAAGAAAAAUAUGUGCCUUUUUUUUUUUUACCAUUGUCUUUGAAUGUAUUGAAUAAAUUAUUUAUCGAGAUAAAAUCAUUUAGUUCAAUAGCUUAAGUGGUGGUUGGAUUUAAUAAAAAAAAAAAAAAACUAGUUUUGAGCCUUGACUAGAUUUUUAAAACAUUUGGUCAGCUUUAGGUGCAGAGGCGGCGCGUCAGCUUGGAUUGAAGGGCCAUGGCUCCACAACUUUUCAAAAAUAAAAACCACUUUAGUUUCUUAAUUAUAUGCAUAAUAUCAUCUUAGUCCCCGAUAAAUUAUUACUAGAACUGUAAGAAAAUUUCAAAAUAUUUCAUAUCAUUCCUGAAGUUUAGCAACUUGUAUUAGUGUAUUCCCCACUUUCUAUAGAGUUUUGAAUUAUAUUUCUAAUUUUAAAAAAAAUAUAUGUUUAGUGCACGAAAACGCUACAAGGAAUUGAAGUUGACAUAAUUUUGUAUGACUAAACACAGCAGCAGGAAUUUUUUUGUCACUUAGUUAAUGAUCAAUUUGGCAAAACAAAAUUUAAUUUUAUUGAUUUAAAAUAAUUAGAGCCUCUGGAACCAAAAUUUGAAUCUUAAAGAAAUGGUCAAUCUUUUUUUUUUGGCAACAUCAAGGUCUGAUUUGCAUGGUUAAGGGGAACUUCAUGUAACUUUUUAAAUUUUGAUCCCUCAAUAUUUUUUUUUUAAUUUGAUCCCUUCACAUUGGUUUUAUUUGGAAUUUUGCUUGGUAGUUUAUUUUAGUUGUUUUUAUGCAUGGAUCUCGUAAUAUUGAGGGAUAUUUCUGGUGAUCGGUUGAAGCUCAUUUUUUGCAAAAUAAAACACCAUUCGACUUAUUUAGAACAAUUAGGUGUCAAUGGACAAGAAUUGAAACUAAAACAAAUAUGGGGACUUACAGUUAUGGACGGGUCAAGAUUGGUUGGUGAAUGCACUACUCAUGUCAUUAGGGGAGAGAAGUUGCAGGUUUCAUAAUUUUCUUCAAAUAUCUAGAGCAUGGUUUGUUAAGUUAGUCCGAAAAGUUUUUUUUCAUACAUUUAAUAUUUUUUUCAUUUCAACCUUCCAAUAUUGAAUUGGUUUUACCAUUAUGCUUUAUAAUUUUUCAUGUUUUGCCUUCUAUUGGGUUGCUAUAUUUACAUGUUCAGGUUCGAGGCAGGUUUGCUAAUUUAUUUUUAUUUAUAUAUAUAUAUAUAUAUAUAUUUAAUUUCAUCAUUUUAUAUUAGAUAUUUUAGAGAUUGUGAUUUGUUUUUUUUAUUUGUUUUUUAUUGGGUCAUUUCAACCUCGUGAUCUGAGUUGAAGAUUUGAUAUGCUAACUUAGAUUGAAAUCUAAAUAUUAUCAAUAUAUUUGUUUGAAUAUUUUUUACUUUUUUAAAACAUGCUUGCUAUAUUUGAUUAUUUUUCAUUAAAAAAAAUUAAUAUGGUCUACGGUACGGCGCAUAUACAUCAAUCAUAACAGUAAUACACUAGCGUGAAUAAACGUCUUCCUGAUAAAAAUUUAUAUUUUAUAGCAAUUUAAAAUCAAAUUUGCAAAUAGUAAUACACUGUAAUGGGUUUUUUUUUCCUUCAACUGUACUGAGUCUUCUUCUUCUUCUUUUUUUUUUUUUUUUUGUAAUUCUUGUAACUUUUUAAAGUUAAGAAAGUAAGAUGAGGUCUCCCGUACAUAGUCCAAAGGCCAAUAGUACUUUAAUGGGAAAAAAAGACGAAGAAAAAAAAAACCAUUGGCUAGCUGCAUCAUUGUGAUUCUUGAGUCUAUUCUCAAAUACGUGGAAGGGCCGACCAAAAGAACAUCAUUACACAUCUUUAACACAGCAAAAUCCCCAGCAAAAUCAUGCCUUCCUUAUUAUCAUUGAUCUAAUAUUUACGCUAUCAUUAAAUUGGUGCCUUAAAAUUUGGCACUAAAAGGCUUUAUUUUAAUUUUAAUUAGUGGUAAAUGGAUUUUUUUAUAUCUUUUAGGAUUUGAAUUCUUAAAAAAUAGAGAGAAAAUUAUAAAUACAUCAAUAGACUUAUAAUAGGUUAUAGAAUAUAGAUUUAAUAUUUAUGACUUUUUAAAAGUGUGGUAGAAAUUAUGUUUAGAGUGAUUUUUUGUUUAUAAAUAUAUUAAAAUAAUUUAUUUUUAACAUCAGUUUAUCAAAACAAUUUAAAUUUAUUUUAAAAAGUAGAUAAAAUAUUGAAUAAACGGCGUUUUCAUCAUCAAAAUUAAAGAUGAAUUAUUAAAAAAUUAAAGUAAUAAAAAAAAAGAUUGCGCUAAAAGAUGUCACAUUACAAGAGAUGUUUUUUGUCGACCAAAAUCUAUGAGGUUUCCUUUUGUGGGGCCCGUAUCAGAUGUACUGAUUUUGCUUAUAUAAUCACCACUACCCCCCCUCUCCAUGCCUGCCUGCUCUCUUUUCCAUAGCAAUACUGUUUCCCACUUUUCUGUGCUCCUCCCUCUUCUACACCAUAGCCAUAUAUAUCCUUGUCUUUUUAACCAUCUCUAGCUAGACCUCCCUGUCCUCUCUUUAAGGGCAAAGCACCGUACAAAUUGAAGGGCGCUUUGCUCACCACAGUAGAGAUUGUAGGGUUUAGUGGUAACCUAGAACGGACACUUGGCACUAUGAAGGAGGGUGGCAGGAAACAAGGUGCACCCUCACCAUGUGCAGCAUGCAAGCUUCUAAGGAGGAGGUGCGCUCAAGAUUGCGUGUUUGCCCCUUAUUUUCCAGCAGAUGAGCCUCAGAAGUUUGCUAAUGUGCACAAGGUUUUUGGUGCCAGUAAUGUCAACAAGAUGUUACAGGUCGGUUCCUAUCUAGCUACUCUCCUUAGUCUUUACAACACUUUUAAGUCUUCAUCUUUCAGAAAACGAACUUAAGGGUAGGAUUUGGAGCAACUUCAUGGGCAGACAAAAUGACUUCUUUCUACUUUGAUUGAACUUAAAGCUAAACUUUUGAACUAUAAUUUGAAGUCAUUUUUACAUGGUUUGGGGGUGAUAGUUUUCUUCUGAAGUUGUUGCUUCCUUAAUUUGAUUCCCAUUUUGAUGAUCUUUAGUUGAUUUUACAUGUGUGUACAAAAAAUACUUGUGAAAUCUUUGGGGAGGUUCCUAUAAUUCGAAGAAAGACGUUUUAGAGUGAUGGGGAGAUGCUUUUUUUUUUUCAAUCCAUAUACAAAAUUAAGUGUGUUUAACAAAUAAUUAACAUCAAUCCAUCUACAUGAUAGAUGAGUUUAGCCUCCUAAUUCUUUUUUUUUUUUUUAAGAAAAAAAAAGAGGCCCUUGUCUCUAUCCCAUCGAAUGAAGAAUUAGGAGGCUAACUCUUAAUCUAACUGGGGUUAAGAUGGGAGUGCAUACAAAUAUUUUUGUAAAAAAUAUAUGUUAUGGGUGGUUUCGCUUUCUACUAGUAGUUGCUGGCCAUGUGAUAUAUUUUAUUUUAUUUUUACCAAUCAAGGGCUGUUUUGUUUUUUUUUUUUUUAAAGAAAAGAAAUCACGUGAAGUUGUUGAUUUGUAAAUUGCACUCAAUAAUUUUAAUAAUUUAGGGAUGACAAGAUAGAAGCUGGACUUUUUUAAAAAAAUGACCCCCCUAGAUCAUAAAACGCUUACAGACUUGUCGUCAUCUUUAAUGAGAGGGACACUAAUGCCAUUUUCUAAAAAGAGCUUGAUUUUUUUUUAUCGAGGAAAAGAUUUUUUGUUUUAUGUGUUAAAAAAAAUUCGGUGGACGAAGGAAGCUUGUAAUUCCAAUAAAAAACUGACAGAGACAGGCACCCCAGAAGAGAAGAAUGUAGCACCUUGCAAUUGACCAAAUGAAAAAUCAUGCAAGAAAACUAAGUAUAAUUAUACUUGAUCUCUGUACACACAUCAGCAUAAAUGACUCAUGCUUAAUGUAAUCAUGAUAUCAUGUGCACAUGGCCAACAUGAAUUUUCAAUUUUAUUAAUAGAAAUAAUUAUUAUUUCAAUAAAGAUAAGAUAGGUAUAUCAGGUAUGUGUAGGAUCCUUCGAGUUUGAAAUUCAAGAUCAAAACACUUGGUAAUACCGUAAAAUUGAAGAAAUAAAACAGUCCCUUGUGUUUAUCAGGAACUACCGGUGCAUCAGCGAGGAGAUGCGGUUAGCAGCAUGGUGUAUGAAGCUAAUGCCAGGGUGCGUGACCCGGUGUAUGGGUGCGUGGGUGCUAUAUCAUCUCUACAGCAACAAAUUGAUGCACUCCAGACCCAGUUGGCACUGGCUCAGGCAGAGGUGGUGCACCUGCGGGUGAGGCAGACAGCAACACUAUCGAACCACGGGCUAAGUCCUGCUAGCCCGAGUAACAGUGGGUCACCAUCUUCUAGGCUCAUGGGGUCCCAAAUGAAACCGAUGUUCGACAUGGAUAUGGUGGAUCACACCAGCUUGGGAGAGUCAAUGUGGUCAUGUUAGGAUAUGCAAGCUACCUUUUUAUGCCAUGCCUACCCUUACUACUACUAUAUCUAGGUUGAUUCUGUCUCCAAUGUUUUCGAUCUACAUAUAUAUAUAUAUUUUUUUAAUUUUGAUAUCGUUAUUGUGUAUCUAUGGGUAAAGGGGUAUAGCACAAAAUAGUGGUAGUGAUGGCAGAGAUGGCGGUGGUGGUGAUUGUCUCAGCGUAAAUUUAUUUAGAUAUUUUGUUUUUAGAUUAACUGAUUUAACACUAUAGUAAUUAGUUAUAUACUGGUUGAUUGUGGACUUUAUGGGUAAACAUUGGAUGGAUUUUCCAUAUGAGCUGAGUAAUAUAUUGACUUUGGUUUUCCCUCUUUUUGUUUUUAGUCAUGGUGCAAUGUUUUCACUUUGGUUGAUAAUGUACAGAUUCUUUAAUGAUUUUGUAUAUUGUGUUCUUACAAGAAUAGCAUAUGCUCAUAUUUGUACACAUCUAUCCCCAACUUUCCAUCGAUGGGACUGGAAUCGAGAGGUUGGAAAGUCUAUUAUAAGAUACGUGAAGAAUUAGCAACGGACACAAGCAUCUACUGACAUAGACUUGCAUGCCAGAUCAACUGUUUGUGAUUUGCACAAGUCAUGAUUUUUUAAUGUUUUUUUCCUUUUAAUCUGCGAGUAAUUCAUGCUAAUUUACUAGGAAAACAUACCCAUUAAACGCUAGCAGAAAACUUACCUAUAAUUUGGCCCAUUAAUGUUUUUUUCCUUUUAAUCUGCGAGGAAUGGGCUUGAAAUGCUAGCAGAAAACUUACCUAUAAUUUGGCCCAAUGAAAAGACCUGUCAAACUUCAAGUUUUUGUCUCCAUGAAAGGAAGCCCAUUAAACGUGUUUAUCAAACUUUGAGGUCGGUGUAUUUCAUCUUCUUCCUCCAGUCUUUAGCAAUGAGAGUAUCUCAGAGAAACUUUAAGAGUGAAAUGUUUAUAGCAGCAGCCUUCCUGAUUAUUUCUAGCAACAAUCCUAAAUGUCACCAAAUAGAUCAAUUACUUUACUCCACAGCAAGCUUCUUUUUCUAGGAAAAGCUGCGAGCGAUAAUAAGCAAGUCAGCUAGUCUACUCCUCUCUAUGUUUUUUUUUUCCUCGCUGGAGCGUUAUGGCAUGGCACAUUGCUCGGUAAUUUUUGGGUUGCUGGAAAGUAAUUUUUUUUAAAAAAAUGAAUUUCUGUUUUUUAUUGUUUAAUAGUAUUAUAAAAAAUAAGUUUUGAUAAACUAGUCAACUUCUUACCACACAAGGAAAAGAAAACAUUGUCUUGAGAUUUUCGUAGUGUCCAACAUAAGCAUUCGAUACAUACAAGUAAAUGUUCAGAAAUAAAACACAAGAAACCUCCCCCUCCUCGUCAACACACGAUCCCAAGCAAUGCACCACUCUUGCACUCCUUUCCUUAGCCAGUCCCUCAAAUAUAUCUGUAACAAAAUAGUUGUGGUGAUAAAAACAAAAUCAACAUUGGCAUUAGCAUCGAAGAACCGAAUUAAAUAAGCACAUAAUUUUUAGUUUAAUUUUUGGCCCAUUAAUUAAUCCCACCACCAAUCACUAAUGAAACAGUCCAAAAUGCCACACACACACACACACACACACACACAAAAAAAAAACUAGUUCAUUGAAUAGUAUAAAUAAAAUGGGAACAAAAUCCCCGCACCAGUUCUAAAUAGACCUCAUACUCUUAACUAUACUUACAAUUUGGACCUGCCUAUGGAAGUAAAUGGAAUUCUACUAGAAAUAUCGUAUUUGGUUAUAAUUUUAUUAUAUAAUUUAUGUUUAUGGAAGAUUCUCCAUCCAUAUCUGAUUUCUAAGUGAAUAAAGCAUGGAUGAUCUAAAAAAGGUACACAAACUAUAGAAAAAAGAGACAAACCUGGGCGGUGAUCUAAACAUCCUUGACAACAAGAUCACCGUUGACAAGCUCUCUGUAGGCAGCAACAGGCCAAGAAAAACCUCUAAAGAUCAAACCAGUAGCCAAAGGCACGUCAAUAAUGAUCUCCUUCAUUGCUGGCUUCUUCUCGUCACUUAUAGCAAUCAAGUAACUCCUACCAACCCAUCCAAUCCAUCCAGCAAUGUACAAGAACAAAAUCCCUGGUGUGAUAAACUCACCCCAGUGCCUUUGGUCACCGCUCACAAUCAAGUGAGGUAGCCCAUCUGAGCCACAUAGCAACCCUUGCUUCCCAUAGUUGUCAAACCU
rnacentral:lncRNA from 1 species